rnacentral:rRNA from 1 species
UGGGGAAUCUUGCGCAAUGGGCGGAAGCCUGACGCAGCAACGCCGCGUGAGCGAAGACGGCCUUCGGGUUGUAAAGCUCUGUCAGGAGGGACGAAGCCACUCGGGUGAAUAGCCUAGAGGGUGACGGUACCUCCAGAGGAAGCCCCGGCUAACUACGUGCCAGCAGCCGCGGUAAUACGUAGGGGGCGAGCGUUGUCCGGAAUCAUUGGGCGUAAAGCGCGUGUAGGCGGCCAUGCAAGUCCGAUGUGAAAGCUCGGGGCUCAACUCCGAGUCUGCAUUGGAAACUGCGUGGCUUGAGUCCGGAAGAGGAGACUGGAAUUCCUGGUGUAGCGGUGAAAUGCGCAGAUAUCAGGAAGAACACCGGUGGCGAAGGCGGGUCUCUGGGACGGUACUGACGCUGAGACGCGAAAGCGUGGGGAGCAAACA